UAGCCUAGUGGUUAAGGCUAUGGAUCGCUAAUCCAGAGACGGCGGGUUCGAUUCCCGU
rfam:Aedes albopictus isolate Foshan contig81261, whole genome shotgun sequence.